rnacentral:rRNA from 1 species
AUGCCCACGUUUAAACAACUUAUUAGAAACACAAGACAGCCAAUACGAAAUGCUCGAAAAGCUGCGCUUAAAGGAUGCCCUCAGCAUCGAGGAACAUGUGCUAGGGUGUAUGUGCGACACUUUCAGAUCAUGACUUCAAACGAAUAUGGAGUGCCAUGGCAUUUGAAUUCCAAACAAUUAAAAAAUGAUCAGACAAUGUAA